GACGAACGCUGGCGGCGUGCCUAAUACAUGCAAGUCGAACGAACUCUGGUAUUGAUUGGUGCUUGCAUCAUGAUUUACAUUUGAGUGAGUGGCGAACUGGUGAGUAACACGUGGGAAACCUGCCCAGAAGCGGGGGAUAACACCUGGAAACAGAUGCUAAUACCGCAUAACAACUUGGACCGCAUGGUCCGAGUUUGAAAGAUGGCUUCGGCUAUCACUUUUGGAUGGUCCCGCGGCGUAUUAGCUAGAUGGUGGGGUAACGGCUCACCAUGGCAAUGAUACGUAGCCGACCUGAGAGGGUAAUCGGCCACAUUGGGACUGAGACACGGCCCAAACUCCUACGGGAGGCAGCAGUAGGGAAUCUUCCACAAUGGACGAAAGUCUGAUGGAGCAACGCCGCGUGAGUGAAGAAGGGUUUCGGCUCGUAAAACUCUGUUGUUAAAGAAGAACAUAUCUGAGAGUAACUGUUCGGGUAUUGACGGUAUUUAACCAGAAAGCCACGGCUAACUACGUGCCAGCAGCCGCGGUAAUACGUAGGUGGCAAGCGUUGUCCGGAUUUAUUGGGCGUAAAGCGAGCGCAGGCGGUUUUUUAAGUCUGAUGUGAAAGCCUUCGGCUCAACCGAAGAAGUGCAUCGGAAACUGGGAAACUUGAGUGCAGAAGAGGACAGUGGAACUCCAUGUGUAGCGGUGAAAUGCGUAGAUAUAUGGAAGAACACCAGUGGCGAAGGCGGCUGUCUGGUCUGUAACUGACGCUGAGGCUCGAAAGUAUGGGUAGCAAACAGGAUUAGAUACCCUGGUAGUCCAUACCGUAAACGAUGAAUGCUAAGUGUUGGAGGGUUUCCGCCCUUCAGUGCUGCAGCUAACGCAUUAAGCAUUCCGCCUGGGGAGUACGGCCGCAAGGCUGAAACUCAAAGGAAUUGACGGGGGCCCGCACAAGCGGUGGAGCAUGUGGUUUAAUUCGAAGCUACGCGAAGAACCUUACCAGGUCUUGACAUACUAUGCAAAUCUAAGAGAUUAGACGUUCCCUUCGGGGACAUGGAUACAGGUGGUGCAUGGUUGUCGUCAGCUCGUGUCGUGAGAUGUUGGGUUAAGUCCCGCAACGAGCGCAACCCUUAUUAUCAGUUGCCAGCAUUAAGUUGGGCACUCUGGUGAGACUGCCGGUGACAAACCGGAGGAAGGUGGGGAUGACGUCAAAUCAUCAUGCCCCUUAUGACCUGGGCUACACACGUGCUACAAUGGAUGGUACAACGAGUUGCGAACUCGCGAGAGUAAGCUAAUCUCUUAAAGCCAUUCUCAGUUCGGAUUGUAGGCUGCAACUCGCCUACAUGAAGUCGGAAUCGCUAGUAAUCGCGGAUCAGCAUGCCGCGGUGAAUACGUUCCCGGGCCUUGUACACACCGCCCGUCACACCAUGAGAGUUUGUAACACCCAAAGUCGGUGGGGUAACCUUUUAGGAACCAGCCGCCUAAGGUGGGACAGAUGAUUAGGGUG
rnacentral:rRNA from 1 species